GUUUAAGUGGUGUAAUAAACACGAUAAGUUGUAAACUUAUAGAUAUUAUAAUCUAAACU
rnacentral:tRNA from 1 species